rnacentral:lncRNA from 1 species
GCUGGGACUACAGGCACCCGCCACAACGCCAGCAAAUUUUUUGUAUUUUUAGUAGAGACAGGGUUUCACUGUGUUAGCUAGGCUGGUCUCAAUCUCCUGACCUCGUGAUCUGCCUGCCUCGGCCUCCCAGAGUGCUGGGAUUACAGGUAUGAGCCGCUGCGCCCAGACCCGUGAAUAUUCUUAAUUCAAGGCAAUGUGUUUGUUUGCAUACAGGCAAGCAGGGUCACUAGGACCGCUCAGGGAGAGAGAAUCUAGAAACCUGGCACACAGGCAAAAGGGUAAAGAAAACUUUUUAUGGUUUGAAUCUUCUGGAAACAUCAGAGAAAGACUGUCCUUGUCAUCCAGACCACAAUAAAACUCGGGGAUUUGGGCUUUAGGUUCAUGGUCUCACAACUGAGAAGGGUCCCUCUACACUCUUCAAACUGUACACCCAUUGGAACCCUUAAGGUUAAACUAACCAAGGAAAUUUCUCCAAAGAAGAAGAUGGCAUCCUUGAUGUGAAUAUCUUUUCCCAAGUUCACAGAUUAAGAUUUCUACUACCAUGAAACUCUCAUCUUUGAAGAAUUUUCCUUGCUUAUGCCUCUAUGAACAAUAGAAGUGGAAAAGGGGUCUGUUAUGUGCACUAAUGGGGUACACUUUUAUUUGUGAAGGAGUUUGCAGCCAGCCUUAUACAUGGAUGAACUUAUACUUUGAUAGAUAAAAGAUGAAGGCCCAAUGUAGGUAAGAAACUUAAACGGUAUGUAUGUUGCCUCGUAAUCGGUCAAGAACAACACAUUGGAUCACUCCUCUUAACCCACAUCAUGGGUUGAAGAGAACAGAGCCAGGAGGCCUUCACUCUUCCAAAAGGGCCUAAUUUAUUAGGUCCUUUUUCCAUGGUUUAAAGUAAAAGAAGCAAUGAUAAGAAAUGCAUCCCUCAUGAUGGGCUCCAUAGCAAAUUCUACAUGAAAGGCUAUCAUUACACAACAGACUUUAAAUUCUCUUUUGAAAGUUUUGCUAAAUAAUGGAACCGGCUAAACAGAAAAGUACCUGUGCAGCUGCUGGCACUUGUGGCCUAUGGGGAAAUACAUUAAAUGAAGAUUAUAGAAAUUCAAUGGUAGGGUAUUGACAAAAAAAAAAUUGCUUAGUUAAGCGAGUAGACUCUUCAUCUAGCUCAUUCUUUAAUCUAUUUAAUUCUAGGUGGUUUGGUUUAUGGUGACCCUGCAUAAGGAGCAUACUCCAAACUUCUGGUAUUAUCCACCCAAUAGUCAUAAUAAUAGUCUCCCUGGUGUGCUAUAUUCUCUCAAAGGCUUUAAAUGCUUGCAUGCAGCCAUCUCUAGAACGUCAAAUGAUCUCUCAUCAACUGGAAUAACAAAAGCUGAAAGAAAUGUGCAACCAUGAGGACACUGUAACCUAUAAAUGAUGUGCUGAGACUGGAAACCCAAAAUGAUGGUAACUGAGAGUGGCGCUAAGGCCCCAAGUUUUGGUCACACUCUUGCCUAAGUGAGAACUUGACCAAAAAGGGGGAAUUUUUGAAACAAAAUUCUGGGAGGCCAUUGUUUUGGACUGAGCUCAUGCACUAGGCCCCAGCAGACCAAAGCAAACCAAAAUGGGGUCGUUUGUGUUAAGACUUUAAGGAAACACAUAAGAUUCUAGAACAGACCAGGUUUUGUUUUUUCUCCUGCAAAUCUCUAUAACAAACAUUUCUGACAGCAUAGCUAUCCACCCCUUGAAGUUCCCAUUAAAUCUUUUAACCUAAUUAUUUACCUCUCGGCUAGAGAUCAUCAAGCUUCAGAUAAUCAUGCAACAAAGGUUACAGUUAGUUCCAGGUGAAGACACCACCCCUGGUCAUCAAGAAGCUAUUCUGCCUCCACUAGAUAGAGCAGGGUGAGAGUUCCAUGAUCCUCAAUAGGUAGGGACUACACCUCAAGCCAGCAAGAAACACUUACAGAAAAAAGACCAUUGGUCACUCUGCCUCCCAUAAAGAUUUAUGGGCAUCACAUCUCUCAUCUCAGAGGGAAGAUGAGGCAGGAAAAUAGGGUCUGGAGACAGGAACAUAAGGCCGAUUCAAACUUCAGCUAUGACAGGAAAUAUCCUCUCCAUAGGGCAUAGGCCAAGUAAAUGACUUUGUAACUUUACUUCAUCCUCUCCACUUACAUAGGGCAUACCCAAAGUAACCAAUGGAAUCCUCUAGGGGGUAUUUAAGCUCUGAAAAAUUCUGUAACGGG